rnacentral:rRNA from 1 species
CGCGUAGGCGGGUCGCUAAGUCCGCUGUGAAAGCCCGAGGCUCAACCUCGGAGGGUCGGUGGAUACUGGCGGUCUUGAAGAUGCUAGGGGGAGAUGGAAUUACCGGUGUAGCGGUGAAAUGCGUAGAGAUCGGUAGGAACACCCAUGGCGAAGGCAGUCUCCUGGGGCAGUCUUGACGCUGAGGCGCGAAAGCUGGGGGAGCGAACGGGAUUAGAUACCCCGGUAGUCCCAGCCCUAAACGAUGGAUACUAGGUGUCAGGGGUAUCGACCCCUCUGGCGCCGCAGCUAACGCACUAAGUAUCCCGCCUGGGGAGUACGGCCGCAAGGUUGAA